AACCGACACAGGUAGGCGAGGAGAGAAUCCUAAGGUGAGCGAGAGAACUCUCGUUAAGGAACUCGGCAAAAUGACCCCGUAACUUCGGGAGAAGGGGUGCUCUGGUAGGGUGCAAGCCCGAGAGAGCCGCAGUGAAUAGGCCCAGGCGACUGUUUAGCAAAAACACAGGUCUCUGCGAAGCCGCAAGGCGAAGUAUAGGGGCUGACGCCUGCCCGGUGCUGGAAGGUUAAGAGGAGAGGUUAGCGUAAGCGAAGCUUUGAAUUGAAGCCCCAGUAAACGGCGGCCGUAACUAUAACGGUCCUAAG
rnacentral:rRNA from 1 species